AAUAUUUAAUUUUUAUUGUGAUUACAUCAAAAAUCAUACUCAUAAAAGUUUAUAAUGUAUUCAAAAGUUACAUUAUAUUUGCAGCAAAUAUAUAAGCUUUUAAAUAGAAAUGAUAUAAAGAAUAAAUUGCACUUGCACCAGGGAAUAAAUUCCUUUGUUUUUUGCUCUGAUCUCUUCAUGCUAUCAACAGAUUUGUAAUCUCCAGCAGCCACAGUGGAUGCACCUCCAAACUGCAAAAUCCAAAUUUAAAUUAAAUGACCAUAUAUUAAGAAGAUACAAUUGUUGCAACAACUUCAACCAAAUUGGUGAAAAAACAAGCACAUUAACUAAAUUUGUUAAGAGAAAAAGUGAUAUGUAACAGAUGAUUGCAACCACAAUUUAGCCUCAACGUCUAAAAAUUCGAUGUCUUAUCGACAAUAGCACGACCACAAUUGAUAUCACAAAUUCUAAACAAUAUUAAGAAUUGAGACAUAAUUUUAAUUUAAAACUUUGUAUAUAACACAUUUGGAGUAGAGAAAAAUAGAAAAUUGGAAGAUGAAGGUGAUGACAGAAGCAUAGAGAGCACAAAUGAAUAAAAUGCACGAUGCAUGUCAUCAUCUGUGCUCUCUAUCUUCUGUCAACAACGUAAUACCAACUAGUGGUACUUAAUUCCAUCUUUCUUCUCCCCUAUUUCUCUACCUGAAGACACUGUAAUUUACCAAUAAAAAGGAAGAAAAAAAAUCAAUAGUGAUGUAAUAAGAAGUAAAGAGAAAAUAGCUAGACUCUUAGAUUUGGAACUUUGUUGUGUUUGAUUUCUCUAGAGCUGCGAGGAUCAACUAUUUAUAAGGGGGGAAUGCAAAAAGUAUGGGUCAAUGUUAAGAGGGCCUUGAAAUAAAA
rnacentral:lncRNA from 1 species